rnacentral:rRNA from 1 species
AGGACGAACGCUGGCGGCGUGCCUAACACAUGCAAGUCGAGCGAGGAGAUCCUCGGGAUGAUCCUAGCGGCGGACGGGUGAGUAACACGUGGGCAACCUGCCUCAUAGAGAGGAAUAGCCUUCCGAAAGGGAGAUUAAUACCUCAUAACAUUGCAGUUUCGCAUGGAACAGCAAUUAAAGGAGUAAUCCGCUAUGAGAUGGGCCCGCGGCGCAUUAGCUAGUUGGUGAGGUAAUGGCUCACCAAGGCGACGAUGCGUAGCCGACCUGAGAGGGUGAUCGGCCACAUUGGGACUGAGACACGGCCCAGACUCCUACGGGAGGCAGCAGUGGGGAAUAUUGCACAAUGGGGGAAACCCUGAUGCAAGCAACGCCGCGUGAGUGAUGACGGCCUUCGGGUUGUAAAGCUCUGUCUUCAGGGACGAUAAUGACGGUACCUGAGGAGGAAGCCACGGCUAACUACGUGCCAGCAGCGGC